rnacentral:lncRNA from 1 species
UGGCCCUAGUCAUCUGUGAUUAUGUCAGGUGACCCUCCUCCGGCUACAGGAGAGGAGGACUAGUGUGUGAAGACCUCCUCUGAGAGUCGGUCCAUAGGUUAGGCCAAGCCGAAUAGAUGCUAUCACUUGAGAAUUUUGAACUAAGACACGAAAGUCAUAGAUGGGAGAUGGCAAUGGGAUUUGCAGAGUCAAAGGUGUGAGAGUUGUCCCACGGCAAGCCUCCGCCACGCGUAAUUCGAAUUUCUGAGGGAACCCAAAGGAAAAACCUUGUAUACGGAGCCAGCCUAAGAGAAUGACAUAGAAGACAUGCAGAGGGAAGAAGUGACAAGAGCUCUAGCUGACAUUUACCAUUAGAGGAGACAGUCUUAGAUGAAGACAGAGUACGGCAAUGAAAAGAAAGUAGGUCAUCUGACUUUCAGCUUGUGGGAAGUGGUCUCGGAGAAGAUUAAAGACAACUAAACUAAUGAUGGAAGGGGGCGAUUAAGGAAGAAGCCAGUCAACUUCAUCAAGGUCUGGAGCUCUUGCUGAAAGGACAUCAGAGCAUGCACAGAAUAGUUGUGGAAAAAUCGUAAGAAGCUGGUAACAAGAAGUAGGUCCUUCCAGCUGGCUGACUGGGAGUGGGAAAUAUUCAUUUUCCACUGCUCAAUG